GAACAGCCUCCUUCAAAAUGCAGCUUGUAAUUCUGGCCAAAAGCUGGAGUAACCCUGCCAGAUCUUAAAAGCUUUACGAUUAAUCAUUCUGAAGUUGAUACAUACAGUAUAGCACCUUGAAAAUGAAUCAUCUGUUAGUUCAGUACUUUCUAAUUACAAUCACUCCCUCUCAGGGCAGGUAAUUAAUUUAUUGAGUUAAAAAAAAAAAAGUC
rfam:Loxodonta africana cont3.21007, whole genome shotgun sequence.